rnacentral:rRNA from 1 species
UACGUAGGCAGCGAGCGUUGUUCGGAAUUACUGGGCGUAAAGAGUGUGUAGGCGGUGCUCUAAGUUCGGGGUGAAAUCUCCUGGCUCAACUGGGAGGGUGCGCCGGAAACUGGAGUGCUUGAGCGUGGGAGAGGAAAGCGGAAUUCCUGGUGUAGCGGUGAAAUGCGUAGAUAUCAGGAGGAACACCUGUGGUGUAGACGGCUUUCUGGACCAUAGCUGACGCUGAGACACGAAAGCGUGGGGAGCAAACAGG